UACGAAGGGGGCUAGCGUUGCUCGGAAUGACUGGGCGUAAAGGGCUCGUAGGCGGCCAACUAAGUCACACGUGAAAUCCCCAGGCUUAACCUGGGAACUGCGUGUGAUACUGGAUGGCUUGAAUCCGGGAGAGGGAUGCAGAAUUCCAGGUGUAGCGGUGAAAUGCGUAGAUAUCUGGAGGAAUACCGGUGGCGAAGGCGGCAUCCUGGACUGGCAUUGACGCUGGAUGAGCGAAAGCUAGGGGAGCAAACGGG
rnacentral:rRNA from 1 species